rnacentral:ncRNA from 1 species
UGAUAGAGGCGCGGUGUCCAUCAGUAGCCGCCGCCGUACGCGCGGGAACGCGGGCGGCAGUGAAAGGGGUCAUCGCCGAAGGGCAUCCGGUUCCCGGCCGGGUGUGCCUGGGCCGUCGGAGAAGAUCCGCCGGACUGUCGCAGAAAUGCGGAGAGCUGUCG